rnacentral:rRNA from 1 species
AUGGCGUCGUUCAUGGCGGCCGCUCUAGUCCUGAUGCUCUUGGCAUCCAGUGCAGGGGCGAGCGAGGCCAGCCCGGCGCCCGCCGAGACUCAGCAGAAUGUCUUCAUCGUCGACAACUACGGUGCCCAUGGCGACGGGAAGCACGACGACACGCAGCCACUGGCCAAGGCGUGGAACGCGGCGUGUUCCUCCUCCCGGCCGGCCAUGCUGCUCAUUCCCGAGGGCAAGACCUACCUGCUUAACUCCGUCACCCUGUCUGGCCCAUGCAAGUCCAGCGUCGUCUUCAUGGUCAAAGGCACGCUGGUGGCUCCACGGAGCAGGUCGGCGUGGCGCGACAACGACACAAGUCGCUGGAUCAUGAUCCAAGGCGUCACCGGACUCACCGUCUCCGGUGGCGGCACGAUCAAUGGCAACGGCGACGUCUGGUGGACGAACUCAUGCAAGACCAACAAGGCUCUGCCGUGCACCAAGGCGCCCACGGCUCUGACGUUUCACCUGUGCACCAAUCUGCAGGUGGAGAAUCUGAAGCUUGUAAACAGCCAGCAGAUCCAUCUCUCCGUGGAGGACUGCAACGCAGUGCAGCUGGCCCGCCUCUCCAUCACGGCGCCCGGCACGAGCCCCAACACCGACAGUAUCCACAUCACCCGCAGCAAAGAUGUGCAAGUCAAAGAUUGUGUCAUCAAGACCGGGGACGACUGCAUCUCCAUCGAGAAUGGGACCCGCAAUCUUUUUGUCAGCAAAGUUGUUUGUGGUCCGGGGCAUGGAAUUAGUGUCGGGAGCUUAGGAGACGACAAUUCUAGAGCCGAGGUCUCCGGCAUCACAAUCGACUCGGUGCAAUUAUACGGCACCACCAAUGGUGCCCGGAUCAAGACAUGGCAGGGAGGAAGCGGGUAUGCCAAGGGCAUCACGUUCCAGAACAUGAUCAUGGACAAUGUGCAAAACCCCAUAAUCAUUGACCAGAACUACUGCGACUCCGCCAAGCCAUGUAAGAGUUGGGGGUCUGCGGUAGAGGUCAGCAAUGUCGUCUUCAAGAACAUUAGAGGGACAACCGUCUCCAAGGAUGCCAUCAAGCUUAGCUGCAGCAAUAGCAUCUCAUGCUCCGACAUUGUCUUGGAGAAUAUCGACCUCAAAAUGGAGGGCGGCAAGGGUGACACAGAAAGCACUUGCCAGAAUGCAAAAUGGCAAGAAUCAGGAACCGUUAUUCCACAACCCUGCCAAUUCCAAAACUAG